rnacentral:rRNA from 1 species
GAUGAACGCUGGCGGCGUGCCUAAUACAUGCAAGUCGAGCGAACAGAUAAGGAGCUUGCUCCUUUGACGUUAGCGGCGGACGGGUGAGUAACACGUGGGUAACCUACCUAUAAGACUGGGAUAACUUCGGGAAACCGGAGCUAAUACCGGAUAAUAUUUCGAACCGCAUGGUUCGAUAGUGAAAGAUGGUUUUGCUGUCACUUAUAGAUGGACCCGCGCCGUAUUAGCUAGUUGGUAAGGUAACGGCUUACCAAGGCGACGAUACGUAGCCGACCUGAGAGGGUGAUCGGCCACACUGGAACUGAGACACGGUCCAGACUCCUACGGGAGGCAGCAGUAGGGAAUCUUCCGCAAUGGGCGAAAGCCUGACGGAGCAACGCCGCGUGAGUGAUGAAGGUCUUCGGAUCGUAAAACUCUGUUAUUAGGGAAGAACAUACGUGUAAGUAACUGUGCACGUCUUGACGGUACCUAAUCAGAAAGCCACGGCUAACUACGUG